UCCCUGGUGGUCUACUGGCUAAGGAUCCUGCAUUCUCACCACUAUGGCCUGGGUUUGAUUCCCAGGCAGGGAA